AGAUGCGAUCAUACCAGCACUAAUGCACCAGAUCCCAUCAGAACUUCGCAGUUAAGCGUGCUUGGGCGAGAGUAGUACUAGGAUGGGUGACCUCUGGGAAAGUCCUCGUGUUUCAUCCC
rfam:Arabidopsis thaliana chromosome 3, complete sequence.